rnacentral:rRNA from 1 species
UACGGAGGGUGCAAGCGUUGUCCGGAUUUAUUGGGUUUAAAGGGUGCGUAGGCGGCUGAUUAAGUCUGGGGUGAAAGCCCGUUGCUCAACAACGGAACUGCCCUGGAAACUGGUUAGCUUGAGUACAGACGAGGGUGGCGGAAUGGAUGCUGUAGCGGUGAAAUGCAUAGAUAGCAUCCAGAACCCCGAUUGCGAAGGCAGCUGCCUAGACUGUAACUGACGCUGAGGCACGAAAGCGUGGGGAGCGAACAGG